UCCCACCCUGCGUCCCGACCUGACCUUGAAAAUUAGCCAUCGGGGCCACUUCUCAACAUCGACAAGUCUAAUGGCACCAAUUAAGGAAAUUGAGGAAAGGAUAGACUUCAAUGUUAAGAACAUACAAAAAAUUGAGGAGAAGAUAAGACUCUUCACACCUAAAUAGGGUUUCAUUUCGUUGGGCGCCAGCUUAUCGUAUCCUACAUUCGAUUUUUUAAGCUAAGAAGGUAAAUACUCUUCACCCAUUUUUACUUAAAC
rnacentral:lncRNA from 1 species